rnacentral:rRNA from 1 species
AGAGUUUGAUUCUGGCUCAGAACGAACGCUGGCGGCGUGGAUAAGACAUGCAAGUCGAACGGUGUUCAUGGGGUAGCAAUAUUCUGUGGUCAUAGUGGCGCAAGGGUGUGUAACACGUGGGUAAUCUGCCCUAAAGACUGGGAUAACAUCGAGAAAUCGAUACUAAUACCGGAUGUGAUGGUUGGAAGGCAUCUUCCGACUCUUAAAGCUGGGGACCGCAAGGCCUGGCGCUUUAGGAUGAACCCGCGACCUAUCAGCUAGUUGGUGAGGUAACGGCCCACCAAGGCUAAGACGGGUAGCUGGUCUGAGAGGACGACCAGCCACACUGGAACUGAGACACGGUCCAGACACCUACGGGUGGCAGCAGUCGAGAAUUUUUCACAAUGGGCGAAAGCCUGAUGGAGCGACGCCGCGUGGGGGAUGAAUGGCUUCGGCCCGUAAACCCCUGUCAUUUGUGACCAAGGCUUUUGGUUGAACAUUCCAAGAGAUUGAUGGUAGCGAAAGAGGAAGGGACGGCUAACUCUGUGCCAGCAGCCGCGGUAAUACAGAGGUCCCGAGCGUUGUUCGGAUUUACUGGGCGUAAAGGGUGCGUAGGCGGUUAGGUAAGUCUGAUGUGAAAUUCCUGGGCUCAACCCAGAAACUGCACUAGAUACUAUCUAGCUAGAGGAUUGGAGGGGGGAUUGGAAUUCUCGGUUUAGCAGUGAAAUGCGUAGAUAUCGAGAGGAACACCAGUGGCGAAGGCGAAUCCCUGGACAAUUCCUGACGCUGAGGCACGAAAGCUAGGGGAGCAAACAGGAUUAGAUACCCUGGUAGUCCUAGCCCUAAACGGUGCACGUUUGCUGUGAGCGGAUUCGACCUCGUUCGUGGCGAAGCUAACGCGUUAAACGUGCCGCCUGGGAAGUACGGUCGCAAGAUUAAAACUCAAAGAAAUUGACGGGGGCCUGCACAAGCGGUGGAGUAUGUGGCUCAAUUCGAUCCAACGCGAAGAACCUUACCUGGCCUUGACAUGUGAGUAGUAGAAGGGUGAAAGCCUGACGAUCCCGCAAGGGAAGCUUACACAGGUGCUGCAUGGCUGUCGUCAGCUCGUGUCGUGAGAUGUUGGGUUAAGUCCCGCAACGAGCGCAACCCCUGUGUCCUGUUGCCACCUGAGCGUAAUAACUCGGAGCACUCUGGACAGACUGCCUCAUUUAAAUGAGGAGGAAGGUGGGGAUGACGUCAAGUCAGUAUGGCCCUUAUGGCCAGGGCUGCACACGUACUACAAUGCAUGGUACAGAGGGAAGCGAAACCGCAAGGUGGAGCAAAUCCUAGAAAACCAUGCCCAGUUCAGAUUGUCGUCUGCAACUCGACGGCAUGAAGCCGGAAUCGCUAGUAAUGGCGCAUCAGCUACGACGCCGUGAAUACGUUCCCAGGCCUUGUACACACCGCCCGUCACAUCAUGAAAGCCGGCCGUACCCGAAGUCGCUGUGCCAACCGCAAGGAGGCAGGCGCCGAAGGUAUGACUGGUGAUUGGGAUGAAGUCGAAACAAGGUA